rnacentral:rRNA from 1 species
GGAGAAACCAUGUGGAUCGCAAGACCUUGCGCUCAUUGAGCGGCCGAUGCCUGAUUAGCUAGUUGGUGAGGUAAAGGCUUACCAAGGCGACGAUCAGUAGCUGGUCUGAGAGGACGACCAGCCACACUGGGACUGAGACACGGCCCAGACUCCUACGGGAGGCAGCAGUGGGGAAUUUUGGACAAUGGGGGAAACCCUGAUCCAGCCAUGCCGCGUGAGUGAAGAAGGCCUUCGGGUUGUAGAGCUCUUUCAGUCGGAACGAAACGGUCACGGCUAAUACCUGUGACUACUGACGGUACCGGAAGAAGAAGCACCGGCUAACUACGUGCCAGCAGCCGCGGUAAUACGUAGGGUGCGAGCGUUAAUCGGAAUUACUGGGCGUAAAGCGUGCGCAGGCGGUUUUGUAAGUCAGAUGUGAAAUCCCCGGGCUUAACCUGGGAACUGCGUUUGAAACUACAAGGCUAGAAGGG